GCCGCGUUGGCGUAGUGGUAGCGCGUCGCACUUGUACCAGCGGAUGGGAUCCCUCUGUGCUAUGCGAAGGUCACUCGUUCAAUCCGGGUACGUGGCA
rnacentral:tRNA from 1 species